UACGUAGGAGGCGAGCGUUGUCCGGAGUUACUGGGCGUAAAGGGUGCGCAGGCGGCGUUCCGCGUGGCGAGAUGAAAUCUCCUGGCUUACCUGGGAGGAUGGUCGCCAGACGGGAGCGCUUGAGGGUCGGAGAGGGGCGUGGAAUUCCGGGUGGAGCGGGUGAAAUGCGUAGAGAUGUGGAGGAACACCGAUGGCGAAGGCAGCCCCCCUGGGCUGAGAUUGACGCUCAGGCACGAAAGCGUGGGGAGCAAACAGG
rnacentral:rRNA from 1 species